AACGCACCUUGCGCUCCUAGGUCUUCCGAGGAGCAUGCCUGUUUGAGUGCCCAGAAUUACUCUCAACCAACACCUUUGUGUAUUGGUUGGACGUGGGGGUCUGCCGUGUUCACAUGGCUCCUCCUAAAUAUGUUAGCUCAUGGGUGAUGAACCACUGUCAGCUUGAUAUUAGUGUCUAUGCUGCAGUUGCUCAUGUGCCGUGGCUUCUAAUCGUCCUUGGACAAUUAUUCUAACCUCGGGCCUCAAAUCAGGUAGGACUACCCGCUGAACUUAA
rnacentral:misc_RNA from 1 species